CUGCCCUUGGGUCCGGCAUAACCCCGGGAAACUGGGGAUAAUUCCGGAUAACGCACAUAUGCUGGAAUGCUUUAUGCGUAAAAUGGAUUCGUCUGCCCAAGGAUGGGUCUGCGGCCUAUCAGGUAGUAGUGGGUGUAAUGUACCUACUAGCCUACGACGGGUACGGGUUGUGAGAGCAAGAGCCCGGAGAUGGAUUCUGAGACAUGAAUCCAGGCCCUACGGGGCGCAGCAGGCGCGAAAACUUUACAAUGCGGGAAACCGUGAUAAGGGGACACCGAGUGCCAGCGUCAUACGCUGGCUGUCCGGGUGUGUAAAAUACACCUGUUAGCAAGGGCCGGGCAAGACCGGUGCCAGCCGCCGCGGUAACACCGGCGGCCCGAGUGGUGAUCGUGAUUAUUGGGUCUAAAGGGUCCGUAGCCGGUUUGGUCAGUCCUCCGGGAAAUCUGACAGCUCAACUGUUAGGCUCUCGGAGGAUACUGCCAGACUUGGAACCGGGAGAGGUAAGAGGUACUACAGGGGUAGGAGUGAAAUCUUGUAAUCCCUGUGGGACCACCUGUGGCGAAGGCGUCUUACCAGAACGGGUUCGACGGUGAGGGACGAAAGCUGGGGGCACGAACCGGAUUAGAUACCCGGGUAGUCCCAGCCGUAAACGAUGCUCGCUAGGUGUCAGGCAUGGCGCGACCGUGUCUGGUGCCGCAGGGAAGCCGUGAAGCGAGCCACCUGGAAGUACGGCCGCAAGGCUGAAA
rnacentral:rRNA from 1 species